rnacentral:tRNA from 1 species
GCGGGGAUAACCAAGCCAGGUCAACGGUGCAGGACUUAAGAUUCUGUCCCGCAGGGGUUCGAGGGUUCAAAUCCCUUUCCCCGCA